CUACGGGGGGCUGCAGUGGGGAAUAUUGGACAAUGGGGGGAACCCUGAUGCAGCAACGCCGCGUGGAGGAUGACGCAUUUCGGUGUGUAAACUCCUUUUAUAUGUCAAGAAAAUGACGGUAGCAUAUGAAUAAGCACCGGCUAACUCCGUGCCAGCAGCCGCGGUAAUACGGAGGGUGCAAGCGUUACUCGGAAUCACUGGGCGUAAAGGACGCGUAGGCGGGUUGGAAAGUCAGGUGUGAAAUCCUACAGCUUAACCGUAGAACUGCACUUGAAACUUCUAAUCUAGAGUAUGGGAGGGGGAGAUGGAAUUAGUGGUGUAGGGGUAAAAUCCGUAGAUAUCACUAGGAAUACCUAAAGCGAAGGCGAUCUCCUGGAACAUUACUGACGCUAAGGCGUGAAAGCGUGGGGAGCAAACAGGAUUAGAUACCCCAGUAGUC
rnacentral:rRNA from 1 species